rnacentral:rRNA from 1 species
AGCAGCCGCGGUAAUUCCAGCUCCAAUAGCGUAUAUUAAAGUUGUUGCAGUUAAAAAGCUCGUAGUUGAAUUUCGGGGUUAGUAGGUCGGUCGUGCCACUGGUAUGUACUGGUUCUACUGAUCCCUCCUUCUUGUAGAACCGUAAUGCCAUUUACUUGGGUGUUGCGGGGAAACAGGACUGUUACUUUGAAAAAAUUGAGUGUUUAAAGCAAGCUAACGCUUGAAUACAUUAGCAUGGAAUAAUGAAAUAGAACGCUCGAUCCUAUUUUGUUGGUUUCUAGGAUUUGACGUAAUGAUUAGUAGGGAUAGUUGGGGGCAUUAGUAUUCAAUUGUCAGAGGUGAAAUUCUUGGAUUUUAUUGAAGCUAACUACUGCGAAAGCAUUUGCCAGGAUGUUUUCAUUAAUCAAGAACGAAAGUUAGGGGAUCGAAGACGAUCAGAUACCGUGUAGUCUUAACCAUAACUAUGCCGACUAGGAUCGGAUGAUGUUAUUUUUANGUACUNAUUCGGNCCUUACGGGAA